GAAGUUUGUGGCUGGAAUGUGAAAAACUGUGUGGAAAGCUGAAAGUCUGUGAAUGAUUUUUCAAAGUACUGCAGUAGUUAUCAGGCAAAAGAAUAAACUGACAGUUUUCCAGAAGUACUUGUUGUCUGUCGCCUACUUUAUUCCUUUUUCAGCAGGAGAUGAUGUCAAAUAGCAGAGCAAUAAACUGACAGGAUUUCUGGCUCAAACUGACAACUCACCGCAGAGAUUAUACACAGGAGUCAGACAUGAUGCUCUCCCAGAAGCAAGAAGCUCCUCCGGCUAGCUCCAGGCUCAUUCCUGCCCGGAUCCCCGAAGGAUGGAGAACACAUUCAGACUGUGAUUCACCGCAAAAAACAAAUACAUCACAAGUGACUGGCUCUGUAUAACUCUGUCAAAAAACACCAGGAGAUUUGUUCCUGAGUUUGUUGUGAGCUGAACUCCAUCUUUCCAUCUCAGAAACUGCAGCUGCUCAAAUCUGCUCAAACACCCAGCCAGACAGAAAACUCAGAACAAUCAGUUAUUGACCUGUAAUUUGUACAAGUAUGUCCUUUUUCCAAAAUAUUAGUUUCUUCACUUGAUUUAAGUUCAGCAAGAAGAAACUUGGGUAAGUUUAAAUUGUUUAUUAUCCUUUUUUGCUGCAGUAGAAAUCUAUUCAGAAGUUGUUUUCUGUAUGCACGAGUGUGGAUGAUAUACCUGCUUUUAAUGUCACUUCAUUGGACUCUCUGUUUUGUCUCAUUCUACACACUGCCACCUACUGACCAAACAGUUUAAGUAAAGAAUGCCUCAAACCAACUGUGGCUGACUAAAAAAAUUGAUGGAAGUACAGUAUCUGACGGAAAGAAAGGCUAACAUUAGGUCAAAUGAAGUAUGAUCCAGUUCUGUGAUGGUAUGAAGCACCAACAUAUUAGCAGUAGAUGCUGUAGGUCUUCUGACUUUUUUACAGUACAUAACAUAUAUGGGAUUGUUCACAAUGUUCCUUCCUUAGACAUAUUUUGAUAUGUAGUGUUGAGACACUAUGGUUCAGUUGUCUGGCCCUCAAAAUGUGUUUCUCAUUUAAUCCAGUUAAAGGCUUCACCUUGCUCAUUUGCCGCAGCUUUUAACACAUUAUCUAUUGAGGCAAAAUCUUCACUUGUCCCUUGUUUCUGACAAUCAGUUGCCAUGACAAAGACAUAAUCACUUCACCUAUCAGCACUCAUAAUGUUUGGUCUGAUUAGUGUGUGUCCAAGCAUUUGCUGGUUUCUUCUUGUUAAUGGAGAGUUUUCCUCUCCACUGUCGCUACAUGCAU